ACAGAGAGAGAAACAAAAAAGACAGAAUACCCGUUGUUUUAAGUUAUUCUUCAACGGACUUUCAGCAUUAAACACUUAAUUAAUAACACCUACAUCUCCAGGAUUCGGGAAAUUUCUAACGACAGCCGUGUUGGCAGGCGGUUACAUGGAGUUGCUAUGACAACAAUAAACAAACCACAAACUAGCUCUCGCCUCGUUCCUUUUAAACACUCAGCCAGAUGGAGGGAAGUCAGCGCUGGAAGACUCAUGAAAUCCCAGCAAUUUGAGAGUGCACCCCAAGGAAUCUCAUUAAAGCAGCUCCACACGUCAA